rnacentral:rRNA from 1 species
UGGGGAAUCUUGCACAAUGGGGGAAACCCUGAUGCAGCGACGCCGCGUGAGCGAUGAAGGUUUUCGAAUCGUAAAGCUCUGUCCUAUGGGAAGAUAAUGACGGUACCAUGGGAGGAAGCCCCGGCUAACUACGUGCCAGCAGCCGCGGUAAUACGUAGGGGGCGAGCGUUGUCCGGAAUUACUGGGGGUAAAGGGUUCGCAGGCGGCAUGGCAAGUCCGAUGUAAAAGGCGAAGGCUCAACCUUCGUAAGCAUCGGAAACUGUCAAGCUUGAGUGAAGGAGAGGCAAGUGGAAUUCCUUGUGUAGCGGUGGAAUGCGUAGAUAAUAGGAGGAAUACCGGUGGCGAAGGCGACUUGCUGGACUUCAACAGACGAAGAGGAACGAAAGCGUGGGUAGCAAACAGG